UGUUUAUUAUUACAGCUCUACCAGUACUUCAUUGGUUGUCUUAUUUAUUUUGGAAUGAAAAGAAAUGCUGUAAGUAUGAGAAAUUAUAUUUUGCUCUAUUAUGACUGGAGAAAUUAAUCAGUAGAUGGGUAUACAAUACACGUUUAAAUAUAUGCAUAUCACAUUUAUUGUACUUUUGUUCAAAUACUGUUGAAUGUUCACCUAAAUGUGUCAGAGCUAGUUAUGUCUCUUAAAAAAAAAAAAAAUCAGUUUCCAAAAAAAUAAAAAUAAAUCAGUUUCCAUCUAAAUCAGCUGUUUCACAAGUCACAGCUUCACUCAGUAACUAUUUUUAUUCAUGAGCCUGUUUUCACUGUUUCUUUUGUCUUUUCAGGUCUACGUUGUCUAUAUUAUUUAAUUUGGUUAAUGAAGAUUGUGAUGAGUGGCGUAAUGGUGUAUUUUUACAUUAUGCUCUUGAGAAAUGAAAAAGCUGAUGCAGGACCGGUCUGUUUGGCAGGAUUUGUUCAAGCCUUGUGGGUGCUUGCAUUUUCUGAAGUCCCAGUCUAUUAUGAGAAGCUCAGCAUGAGGAAAAUGAUGUUCCUGUAUGGAUCAGCUGGUCUUGUUUUAGUGAACUCUGCUGCACUGAUGACAGAACUGAUAAUGAAAGCAGGGAAACCCGUCAACACCGAGUCUCAGGAGGCUUCUCGGAUGUCGAUAGAUUAUAAUGCGACUCCUGGUACAAAGCACACCAGUGUAGAUAUGAACCAGAUGACUGGAGAAUCCGUUGAAAUGGAAACUCUGAGAAAAGUAUCCGAGAACAGCGAGGAGCAUCAAGAAGAGGAGAUCAACUAACAGUAAAGUGAACUGCACUUUCUAGAAGAUCUGACUGAACCUUUCUCACUGGGCAGAGGUUUUCAUGGAAUUAAAAAUUUCUGAGGGUAAAACCAUCGAACAUGCCAUUUGUUAUUUAUUUAUUUAUUUUUUGUCUGCAUAACUAUUAGCAGCAGACAUUGGUGCACUGCACAUCAUCAUAUUUCAGCCUGAAUUAUUUUUAUAACUGCACUGUUGUGCCAUUGGUAUUGUGGUUGCCAAACUAUGCUGAAUUCUACUUUGAAGUGACUUAAGUGUUUGAAGUGACUCAAAAAUUGUUUAUAUACUCUCAAACUUUUAUAUUUUUAUGCAUUUAAAUAUUUUACAUGUAAUAUGUAGCCUAUGUAAAUUAUUUACUUUAUGUAAUUUGUUAAAAUAUGCACUUUCUCAUCUUUGUUCUUAUGUUAUUGCUGACUAUGCUUUAAAAGUGCUUAGAGCACUUACGACAGUAUUUACUAAAGCAAUCAGCAUUAUUUUUCUUUAGUACCAAAAUGGGUAUUGAGGAAUGUUAAAUUUUACUGUAACUUUAUUGUGACUCUCUUUCAAGAGUUAGGGGUAUGUUUCUGGCCAGAGUAAGCUGCAAAGUGGAUCCAGAGUUGAAUGUAUAACAUAAUAUGCUCUUCUGUUGCUUUUUUCACUGACAUUUUUUGUGAAACAUGUUCUACCUUUUUCUUCUCUUUGGGAUGUUUAUGCACAUUGACUUCUGAGAUGAUGUUACUGUAUAUAUGACAAGAUUCUGCCUCUGAUAAAUUUGUGUAAGGUAUCAUCUUAAAUGUAAGAAGACCUUUGUUUUACAGGAUAUUGUUAUAGGCCUACAUGUUUAUUUUAUUAUUCAGAAGUAUUUUUAAAUGUAUUAUUUAUUAUUAUAAUAUUUUUUAAUUUAUUUUUCAUAUUUUUUGUACCAAGUUCAAACACAUGAUCUCAUGUAGUAUUAAAAUAUGAUCUGCAUCGCUCUGUAUAUUAUAAUAAAUAUUUUGCAAGAAAUUACA
ensembl:lncRNA